AUAAUGAAGCUUUAAGUUAGUAUUUUAGUUCAUUGCUUUUAUACUUAGAUUCUGAUUUAUGUUAUGUUUAGCUAAUAAGAUUAUGUGUGGUUUAAGUUAGUAGUUCAUUGCUUUCAUACUGAGAUUCUGCUUAUGUUAUGUUUAAUUAAUAAGAUUAUGUGUGGUUUUAUGAUGAAGCUUAAGCUCGUGUCUUAGUUUAUUGCUUCUAUACUUAGAUUUUGUCUACAUUAUACUUAGUCAAGGUGAUUGUGUGUGGUUUAUGAUAGAGGUUUGAGUUAAUAUGCUGGUCUAUUACCUUUCUUUUCCAUUUAUUGCCAUACUAUGCUUGGUUAAUAUGAUUGUUUGUGGUUUAGGACAAAGCUCAAACCUGACAUGCUUGUUGUGAUUCCUUUUUAGAUUAUGUCUGCAUUAUGCUUAUUUAAGGUGUUUUAUGUGGGUUAGAGGGUAGUUUCAAGUUGAUAGGCUGUUUUGACUCAAUCUUGUAUUCAGAAUUUCUGUUCAUGCCUUGUGACUAGUUGUUUUUACAUAUAAUUUAGAUUAUAGCACUAAGUUGAUUAACUUGCUUAACUUGGACUUGCACUUAGCUUUCCUGUUUAUGCCUUUGCUUGUUUAGCUGUGACUAAGGGUCUCUAAGUGUAACGACCCAUUUGGUCGUUUAGCACUUUAAAACUACGAAAAUGGUAUGGGACUAUAUUGUAUUUAGUUAUAUGAUUUGAAUACAUGUUAUAGUUUAUAUGAGAUGAUGAAUAGAGCGAAGUAAUCUGAGGACUAAUGAUAUAUUUCAUCCGGUGAAAGGGCAAUUGAUGUCUUAGGAAGGCAUUUGAUAUGUAAAAGGAAAAAUAAAUAAAGAAGGCCACUUUCAUUAUGAUGCCAGGAAUGAGUGGCAUUUGAAAUAAAAAAAAUAAUAAUAAUAAAGUAGGCUAGCCCACCAUUCCUUGUUUUAUGCAUCCUUGUUUUGUGCAUUUAGUCAUCAUAACCUUGUGUUGUGCACGUUAUAUUCCAAAAGGAGGAAAAACGUAGAAGGAAAAAUCUUGUUCUGUGCAAGAUAUAUUACGAAAGAAAGAGGAAAAAAUAGAAGGAAAAAUUAUUCACUUAUUUCUAACCUAGAGGGGAGAAAAAGGACGAACAGAAGGAGCUUUGUCAAUUAAUGUUGAAGGAGCAGUGAAGCUUUAUUUUAUUUCCACCAAAUACAAAGGCAAUCAGAUUUUGAUCGUUCAGAGGCUCUACGCAAAGGGAAGACAUUAGUUUGAUUGUUCGUGGCACCCGCUCGGCAUUGAGAGUACGAUCCAGGUUCCAGUUCUACACCCUGUGGCUGAUACGCGAGGGUGACAUCUUUCAGUCAUUCAGGGUGAGCUACUUGGUCAUCCGUGGCCCCUGAAGGACCUCCUCUAUUUAUUCUGUUUUUGUAUUCUACAGACAAUAUGUAGCCUUCUGGCAUUUUCAGACUUCUAUUCGGUAAUAUGUUAGCGCUCUUGUACCCUUUGACCAGAUUUUUGGGGUUGUCGUGACAUUUCUAGUUAUGAUAAGUAUUUAAGACUUGAUAACUUAUUCUUAAAUUAAU